UGGCUCACAAACCUAAGAAUCAUUCUUAAUUUUAAAAAAUUAAGUAAUAUUCUCUAUCAGACUAUUCUAAUGUUAAUAGUCUGUCCAACCCAAAGUCAACAUGCUAUACUUGAUGAGUGGAUGGACAAUAACAAUUAAGAUAGGUGCUAAAGGUUGAAGUCCAUGUUAGAUGAACUCCAACAUAUGCAUGAGCAUAUGUUCACUACCAAUGACAUAUUGAUUCAUCUACAAGUAUUGUGAG
rnacentral:lncRNA from 1 species